rnacentral:rRNA from 1 species
UACAGAGGGGGCAAGCGUUAUUCGGAAUUAUUGGGCGUAAAGGGCGCGUAGGCGGCUUUGCAAGUGACGGGUGAAAUCCCUCGGCUUAACCGAGGAGCUGCCUGUCAAACUGCAUGGCUUGAGACCGGGAGAGGUGAGUGGAAUUCCCAGUGUAGCGGUGAAAUGCGUAGAUAUUGGGAGGAACACCAGUGGCGAAGGCGGCUCACUGGACCGGUACUGACGCUGAUGCGCGAAAGCGUGGGGAGCAAACAGG